CUUGUGUUGCCUACCAAAGUUACGGUAUUGCCUCAAUCGAUCGUAGUCGCUUUCGUCUCGUGUCAUCCACAUGACAUGAGAUGGACCUUGAAGCUGUCUCUUUGGACCACUUCGUUAAUGCUUGCGUUGAUGUUGUGGCCCAUUGAGCAUUGCUUGGUAUCUUGGAUACGGAACCUGAUGUGGGCAUGGGUCUCAUGGGAUCCUGUUCUGCCCUCGUUUAGUGUUCUCGCUUCUCUUAAAAUGACCGCCCAGCCCGCAUUGGCUCGUACCAGCGGGUGGGUUAUGUCAAAGAGGAAUGCUACCUGGUUGAUCCCGCCAGUAGUCAUAUGCUUGUCUCAA
rnacentral:misc_RNA from 1 species